CCCUUAGAUGUUCUGGGCCGCACGCGCGCUACACUGACGAUGGCAACGAGUUUUUCCUUCGCCGAAAGGUGUGGGUAAUCUUUUGAAACAUCGUCGUGCUGGGGAUAGAUCAUUGCAAUUUUUGAUCUUGAACGAGGAAUUCCUAGUAAGCGCGAGUCAUCAGUUCGCGUUGAUUACGUCCCUGCCCUUUGUACACACCGCCCGUCGCUACUACCGAUUGAAUGGUUUAGUGAGGACUCCUGAUUGGCGCCGCCGCCCCGGCAACGGAGCAGCGGACUGCCGAAAAGUUGUUCAAACUUGAUCAUUUAGAGGAAGUAAAAGUCGUAACA
rnacentral:rRNA from 1 species